UAUAUACAUUGAAUGGUAACCGGUGGCUUUUAGCUAUGUGUGUUGUUAAUGUUCGCGCUAAUAGAGAUUUUGGUAUUGUAUCGUGUUAGGAAAGGUGACUAAAAAAAGAGCUGUGCGACGCACGGCUGGUCCAACUGUAUUUUUUGUUGGGCAUUCUGGGAGAACUGUUUUUCUCCUACAUGUCAUGACAGUCCCACUAACAUUCGCCAAUAUACACAUAAAUGUAAUCGGCUUUGAAGCAUAUUUGUAAAUGUUUUAUAGCGUUAGUUUUAUAGUAUAUAUGGGGGAAACAAAUGGUGUAUCGUGAAAAUCAUCUCCCGUGGCAAAAGUAACCACUAGAAUAAGAUGUUAGUUAGUGGCCACCAGUGCAUCGGAAGAUGGAAGGAAAUAAACAGCCUGCCUGUACGACGGAACAGGAAGACCGAAAGCGAAAGUAGGAAAACUUACACCUGGCUGUACACAAUCAGUUCUCAACGAAGAGAUGGUAAUAUCGAUUCCCGCUCCUUGCUACACAGUAUUGAAGAGUAUACUGUGGUGGUGAGGUACCACCAGACAGUCAGUCCAUCGAACAUCGUCUACAUGACGGUCUGUGAGUGCUGUUGUCGGUCAUCAAUUAGCAACUGAUGUUAAAUUGCUCAGACACCUUCAAGAACACAUUCAGAAAUCAUCAAUAAGACUUUCAGGUACACAACCAUGUCAUCCACCAGAGGUAGAUCUGGUCCAAGCAAUAAGAAAUCUCUAUCGAAGAAGGUGGGAAAGUCCAAGCAAGCACCUGCUGGAAACCAAAACGGAACAGCUGGCGGACUGUACAGAUGUCAGGCCUGUAACAGAGGAUACCUUAGAGGUCUGGCUUCUCUACACAUCCACCAACGCCAUCUUUGUCCUGUUCUGACUCGAUCCAACUUGUUUCACUGUGAUCAGUGCGGACAUGGCAAAUUCAGAGGGAAGAGCAGCCUUGACCUUCAUAAACGGAAACUGUGUACCCAGGUUCCCAAAGUGGCAUUCACGCAGGUAGUAGAAGGUGCAGGAGGUUCAGGGUAUGACGAAGAGGGGAAGAUGAGGAAGGGGAAGAUGACGAGGAGGAGGGGGAAGAAAGGGAAGAAGAGGAAGGGGAGGAGGAAGGGGAGGUAAGAGAUGAGGAAGAAGAUGAUGAUGAUGAUCACAGAAUUUACUAGAACAGGAUGACCCUUCGAAAAUAUAUCUUCCAAAAACCUUCAUUGUAUUAACAAUAUGCAAGCCAAAAGCAUUUAACACCAAAGUAAAAUGAUUGAUGUGGUGCAAUAUGUAACACUGAAACCAACCACUGUGAGGCAGUGAGGUACAUGUUAUAGAGUGACUUCCAACUGUUCUGUAGGAAUGUUCAGUGUCUUUCCAUAUUUUUGAUAGAUUAUAUAUGAUAUAUGGUGAAAA